UACGUAGGGUGCGAGCGUUGUCCGGAAUUAUUGGGCGUAAAGAGCUUGUAGGCGGUUUGUCGCGUCUGCCGUGAAAAUUCGAGGCUCAACCUCGAACUUGCGGUGGGUACGGGCAGACUAGAGUGUGGUAGGGGAGACUGGAAUUCCUGGUGUAGCGGUGAAAUGCGCAGAUAUCGGGAAGAACACCCGUGGCUAAGGCGGCUCUCUAGUACGGUACUGACGCUGAGACGCGAAAGCGUGGGGAGCGAACAGG
rnacentral:rRNA from 1 species